rnacentral:pre_miRNA from 1 species
CUUGAGCUGCGGUGGCUCCAAAGUGCUGUUCGUGCAGGUAGUGUGUGCAGCCAUCUACUGCCGGGCAGCACUUCCCGAGCCCCCGCAGCCG